rnacentral:rRNA from 1 species
CGGAACGGGUGAGUAAUACAUCGGAACGUGCCCGAUCGUGGGGGAGUAACGGAGCGAAAGCUUUGCUAAUACCGCAUACGAUCUACGGAUGAAAGCAGGGGACCGCAAGGCCUUGCGCGGACGGAGCGGCCGAUGGCAGAUUAGGUAGUUGGUGGGAUAAAAGCUUACCAAGCCGACGAUCUGUAGCUGGUCUGAGAGGACGACCAGCCACACUGGGACUGAGACACGGCCCAG